rnacentral:lncRNA from 1 species
AAAUAAAUAGGAUGACUUUUCCUCAGGAGUAAUGAGCUGAAUUUUUUCAGUUAAGAAAGGAUUUGUGAGCCACCACGGUGAAUGCGAGAGGGAACAGCUGGGCAUGGGCAAGUUACACUGAGGGAGAGAAGUGAGCAUGGGCAAGGGGAGAACGAACAAAACACCCUUUUCAGAUGGCAGACAUUUGCCAAGACCUGGAACAUUAAGAACUGUAACUCUCAACUGUGUGUGA